AGUGGCGCUGUUGCACCUUCUUCACAGCACUGUCUGUGUGGGUGGACCACCUUCCCCAGUCCCAGGACACCUGUAUCUUUGUAGUGACUGGGUGUAUUGACACACAAUUCAAAGUGUAAUGAAAAACUUCACCAUGCCCAAAGGGAGGCUGUAACACAACAAAAUGUGGAAAAAGUCAAGAGGUGUGAAUAUUUUCUGAAGGGACUGUAAAUAGAUGGAGCACCAAUUCGCUAGCCUGGAUUUUGGAUCAUGCAUAGUGGGUCAUUCAAUGGAGUCAAUAGACUGAAUAUGAAAUGUUCAAAUAUGGAACCAAAGCGUUUGAACAUUUUUUGUUCUCAUCUGUUCAUGCAGCAGAUUGGAAUGCAAAGUUUGUUUGCUCAAGGCCAGGGGAGAGACACUAUAACUGGCCAACGGUGCCAAGUUUGGGCCGGAGACAUGAAGGUGUCUGGCUGUAAUACCAAGGGCCUGAAGUCGAAAGUGUGGCAGAUGCUACCUUGCCACGGAUGAGGGUCCAGACUUUGCAACAUACCCCACCCACUCUUACCAUUUACUUUAAUAUUCUGUACACACUGAAAUUACUUUAUAGUGUACAGUAUCAUAGUACAGUACCCUCAAACACAAAUGUCCCACUACACCUAAUUUCCCACUAAUGCUGAUUUAUAGGCCUAGCCCACUUCUAGGAUAAAGAACAAAACUGUUACUGUCAUUCACCAGUGUAAAAAACAUUUCUGGGGUUAAUUGAAAUUGACAACAAAAAAAUGUAUACAAAUAUACUUAAUCAAAAAUGAA